GGUCACGCAUGUGGCGCAAAAGCUGAGAUGGUUUACGGUCACCAAGCUCAACGUCAUUAAGUAAUUUCCGAAUUUUUUUCGAUUCGGAGUCCGCGAACUCCGCGAUAAUUCUAUUUUUGAGACACUCGUAUUUGUCCGUUUCGGGAGGAUUGCGAAGAAAAUCAGUUCAAGAAUUUGCGCGUCCAAUGCGCCGACCACGUGGUCGUAUUUUGUAUCAUCGCGAGAAAUGUUAGCACGUCGAAAAGACGUCUCUAUUUGAAUGAAAAAUAUAUGAGGGUUACUUUUCAAGAAAACGGGUGGUUUAACCGCAAUAUGACUACUUUGUAGAGGCUGAUCGAAGAAGGUACUCACAUUUUCGCGAAAUUCUUGUUGUAGUUGCCGUUGAGAAGCUCCUGAUGAGGUUCCAGGUGUGCAGUCUCCUUGGAUCAUUCUGGUAAAUAUUGAUUGUAGGUUCCGUUGAAUGGCUUCCAAAUCCUCGAUUGGUAUUUGCUCUCUUGGUCGUAGAUAAGGCUUCUCGUUGUUUGAUGAUAUUCUCAUUUGAAAAAGUACUGCAUCCAGAAUGUUGUAUUUGCACUUUGAAUUACGUUUAAAGUUGCAUUAAUAGUACACUUGUUUGUAUGGUUGCAUAGAAUUGUGAGUUAAAUGCGGAAGGUAAUUCCUACGACCCGCGUUGCAUCAAUAAAAACCCCUUUCAAAUGUUUGUGUUAAAUUUCGCCUUUAAGUUCCGAACUUUGGUGUAGUACCACAAGCCUUGGUUACACGUGGUGGAAUGUGCGGUUAUGUUAGUACGCAGGUGCAGGUGAAAUUUAAGUUAUGGUCGAUGCACGCUCGCCGUAUUAGAAAUGUCCACAAUUUUCUCGGAAAACACUUUUGUAUGAAAAUGUUCUUUGUUCGGGGUCACCGAUUUGGGUUUUUCUAAUUUAUACGGCGCUUCCAGAUUCUAAUUGCUGCCGUUUGUAAUCGCUCCUACACCGACUCUACGUUCUUGCACUUUUCUAACCCUUCAACUCCAACUCGAAGCAAUUUAAACAGCCAUUCAUAUAUUGCGACCAAUCUAUGCGGCGCAGAACUUUUAUUUUAGUUUCAAUUGUUUUCCUCUUAUUUUUAGUUAUCAGUUAUUAAAAACAUUCGUUGCGAAAAAAGAAGCUCUUAUCAAGACCCAAACCGAAAAAGUAAUAAUUCAAAACAAAAAUACUCAAGCAACGUAUACACGCUGCUUUUGUUGUAUCAACAAUCCUUACGCCCAGCACACACGCUGCGAAUGUUGUAUCAACGCUUUGUACAGUGCGUACAAGCAAUUGCAGGCAAUGUCCCACAUAUUAAAUUAUAUUAACAGCGAAAUUAUUAUUGUAAGGGAGAUAUUAUUGCAUAUUAGUAGAACUAUUAUUAUUAGCUGAAUUGGGGUAGGAAUUUAUAUUUCUCUAACUAUUAAAUUGCUGUCUUGGUGGGGAUAAAUUUUGUUUUGUUUGUUGUAGAAAAAUCUUUUUCUUAAUUUUGGUGUUUCACCGACGUACGUUCACUCUGUGAAUUCCGAAUGGUAGUCACGCACCGACCCAUUCGACUACGGCGGCUGCCGAUUGUACAUAUAUUACUAAUCUAUAAUAUAAAACUGAAUCGUAAAAUGUGUUGGUAAACUUAUAACUCAACAACGCAUGGACUAAUCUUAACAUUUUUUUUUUAAAUGUUCCUUGAAGUCCAAGGAUGGUUUGUACGGCGAGAAAAAUUCGAAUAAUUUCCGGGAAAACCCUAAAACAGCCCUUUUCUUUUUCCCAUACAAAUAUUGCGCGUUCGUGUGUGUGCGUGUUGGCGUUGGAGGAUCUAAUGCGUUGACACAAAAGUGAUAAUAUUCUUUCUUUUGUUUUAGUUUCAGAACGAUUUAAGGAACGAUUUCAUUCACAAACCUAUAAUAUAAAGAGGAAUUGCAAAAUGUGUUGGUUCCUUGAAGUCCCAGGAUGACUUUUACGGAAAAUAAUUUCCGGGAAACCCCUAAAACAGCCCUUUUCUUUUUCCUAUAUAAAUAUGGCGCGUUCGUGUGUGUGCGUGUUCGCGUUGGAGGAUCUAAUGCACAAAUCACACAAAAGUGAUAAUAUCGUCAACUCGACCAAAUUGAAAAGUCAAAAAAUGUAAGAGCUAUAGAUUUGAUUAGCCUCGCAAUAUUCUUUCUUUUGUUUUAGUUUCAGAACGAGUUAAGGAAUAAUUUCAUUCACAAAUAAUAAAUAGUUAAGUAAAUUCUAAGAAUAAUCAUGCAGUGCUGAACAAAUCCAAACAUAUUUUAAGAAUACCAAACGAUAAACAUACAUAUGUAUUUUAAGAAUAACAAAAGACAAACAUAUUUUAAGAAGAAGAAGAUAAACAUAUGUUAAGGAUAACAAAAGACAAACAUUAUUAAUUAAUCUAAAAAACCUAUGUUUUUCACAUGGUCAAUUGUAUGUUGCCUGUUCCCGUGUUGGAAAACCAUCAGAUUUGUUUGUAUAUACACCAGGUAAUCAAACAAAAACAUUGUAUAUCAUAAAGCGCUACAAUAAAAAUAAAACAGAUUUUUGUUAAUAAUUAUGAUUCACUUGAUUUACAAUAAAGCGAUUACUGAAAAUA